CUAGGGUAGUGUCUUUCUUCCUCUCCUCCCCCCCUGAGAUCAGCUCUGUGCUUCGGCAACCGUCUCUUCCUGUUCUUUCCGUCCCCAGUCGCGGCACGGAGAUCUUUGCCGCUGACGCCUUUCAAGUUCAUCUUACAAACUACACCACUUUUGUAACAUCUUUGAAGGGGACAGAAAGCAUCAAGCAUUUCUUCAAUCAUGAAUCUAGUCAGCAUCUGUAAUAUGGCCCAGAAACUGAUGGCUCCCAGGAUGCUUGCUGGUGCACUCAUGACAGGGACUUACGCAAACUCGUCUGCCGGUGGUUACCGUAACGGCGGAAGCAGUGGCGGUCAGAACCGCGGAUCCGCUGGAGGUCAGCGCAGCUUUGGAGCUGGCGGUGGUGGCGGAGGUUCACGUUUCGGAGGUGGUGGUAUGGGAGGCCGUGGUGGAGGAGGCGGUAUGCGCAUGGGCCAGAGGCCCCAGAACAGCAACAAUGCCGGCGGAAACCUAAGGAAGCCUAAUUGGGAUAACGAGACUCUUCGGCCGUUCAAGAAAGACUUUUACACCCCACACCCCAACGUCUCCAACCGUCAUCCACGCGAGGUCAACGAGUUCCGCGAAACUCACAAGAUCACUCUCAAGGGCGACAAGGUGCCCAACCCCAUCCAGUUCUUCGAGGAAGGCAACUUCCCUGACUACGUUAUGCAGGGUAUCAAGAAGCAAGGCUACUCUGAGCCAACUCCCAUCCAAGCUCAAGGCUGGCCCAUUGCUAUGUCUGGCAAGAACAUGGUUGGCAUCGCCCAGACUGGAUCUGGAAAGACUCUGGCAUACAUUCUGCCCGCCAUUGUCCACAUUAACAGCCAGCAGCCGCUGAACCGUGGUGAUGGACCCAUUGCCCUCAUUCUCGCCCCAACAAGAGAGUUGGCUCAACAGAUUCAGACAGUAGCCUCAGACUUUGGCUCGCUGUCCUACGUCAGGAACACCUGCAUCUUUGGUGGAGCACCAAAAGGUGGACAGGCUCGUGACUUAGAGCGUGGAGUCGAGAUCGUCAUCGCUACACCCGGACGAUUGAUCGAUUUCCUUGAGCGAGGAACCACCAACCUACGUAGAUGUACGUACUUGGUGCUGGAUGAGGCUGACAGAAUGUUGGACAUGGGUUUUGAACCCCAGAUCAGGAAGAUCAUUGAACAGAUUAGACCAGACAGACAGGUUCUCAUGUGGUCUGCUACAUGGCCCAAGGAAGUCAGGAUGCUAGCUGAAGAAUAUCUUGUUGACUACACACAACUGAACAUUGGUUCCCUGCAGCUGGCCGCUAACCAUAACAUCCUUCAGAUCAUCGACGUUUGCCAAGAACAAGAAAAAGAAACGAAGUUGGGAACGCUGCUUCAAGAAAUUGGAAAUGUCAAUGAUGACGGCGGCAAGACCAUCAUUUUCGUUGAGACAAAGAAGAAGGUCGAGAACAUUACAAGAAAUAUUCGUCGAUACGGCUGGCCUGCAGUAUGCAUGCAUGGUGACAAAUCGCAACAAGAGCGCGACUAUGUUCUCAGAGAAUUCAGAAAUAAGAAAGGAUCAAUAUUAGUAGCAACUGAUGUUGCUGCCCGAGGACUUGAGGCACAUGAUGCACAGAUUAUGAUGAGUGUGCGAUGAGCAAGCAAUUGAUGAACAGCAUGAAAUAUACCAUGGCUCACUCACUGUCUGUGCUCUUGAAAGGGCUAUAUAUAAAGCGAUAUAUAGACAAAAGUACACUCGAGCACUUUUUCUGAGGUGUUGAUUGUGUACUAAAUGUGCCUCUGCGUACAGCCUGUGUACCACGCGUUUACAAAUAACAAAACUAAAUCUAAAAAAAAGUAAGAGGUGGUGCUCAGGUUAUAUCGCCUUGGAACGUUGGCUUCUGGUUUUGCAUAACUUCUACACACUCCAUAGCCAAUGCUCUCAACCUGUGCGAGACAACAAUCAUUUGAUUUAGCUAUUAUCGCUACUCAAUGGGAAUGUAUCAGGACAUUACAUAAUAUGAACUUGCAUUCAAGAACGCUCGUAUAAAAUGCAAAGUUCAACAUUCAUGACGUUGAUGAUGUUAGGUACGUCAUAAACUUUGAUUAUCCAUCGUCAUCAGAAGACUACAUUCACCGAAUAGGCAGAACUGGACGUAGUCAAAGUUCUGGUACUAGCUACGCCUUUUUCACACCUCAGAAUGGGCGACAAGCUAAAGACCUCAUAAAUGUAUUGAGGGAGGCCAAUCAAAUCAUUAACCCUAAACUAUCCGAGUUGGCGUCGAAGGGAGGAAACAACUUUGGAGGAAGAAACCGAUGGGGUUACUCUGGAGGACGAGGACGGGAAAACAGUUUCUCUGGCACACACAAACGAUUUGAUAACAGGAGUAGUGGAUACAAUAAUUAUAGUUGAGUUUCUAAUUUAGACGUUGAACACAAUACUGAGCAAAAGCCGAAUGCUUGGGGACUUAGAUUUAACUAUUCGUCUUGAACUGUGAUUAGAAAAAAACUGUCCUUAAGAGUGGUUCGUGCGUUUGAGUAUGCCAGUUGUUGUGCUUACUCUUAUCAAUGACAUUUUUUUAAUUUAUGAUUCUUAGAUUUUCUUAAAUAAUUAGAACGUAAUUGGUUCUAAAAAGCCUUAAUGCUCUAUUGCGUGGGAUACCCAAUAGAGCUAUAGCCAAUUGAAAUAUCUUUUUUCAAUUAAACGAUGCUCGGCAAAGUGGAGGAAAUGUUCCACAUUGCCGUCCAGUUUAUUAAAAGAGCUUAAAAUAUAAUAAAAACUAAUUUGCAUUUUGUAUUGGAUCUUAGAGGUCGCGUUUUUUAAAAGAAUUUCGUAAAUCUUUGCAAUAAAUCUUGCAAUUGCGUUAUAUUCGAUGGUCUCUUUUGUUAAAAUACUAAACCUUGAAGUACAAACCUUUUGACGAGCACCGUUUUGUUGUCGAAGGCAAAUUGAGGCGUAUGGACCAUUAAUACAUUACAGUAUUCAUUCCAAUAUCUCGUAACACAGUGUUAAUUAUCUGUCCUCACGAUUUUUAUUCAAACAUAAUAUCAUAUGAAACAUGAAUAAGAUUUGAUAAUUGUUCCAAAGAAAAUUUGACAGAAUCAUGUUUGAAUCUACGUUUUAUAUAGUAACUGUGUCUUUUCGUUUUCUGCUGUGUGCAUAAUCCAGAACAAAAAAAGUGUACUGCACAUCUAUAAUGUUGCUCGAAAAUGUACAGAGUAACAAACUGAAAUAAAAAAAAUUACCACUACAA